GAUGAACGCUAGCUACAGGCUUAACACAUGCAAGUCGAGGGGUAACGAGAGGAAAGCUUGCUUUCCUUGUCGACGACCGGCGCACGGGUGAGUAACGCGUAUCCAACCUGCCCCCAACUAGGGAAUAACCUUGCGAAAGUAAGACUAAUACCCUAUAAUUUCCUCAGAUGACAUCUGACGAGGAAUAAAGAUUUAUCGGUUGUGGAUGGGGAUGCGUCUGAUUAGCUUGUUGGCGGGGUAACGGCCCACCAAGGCAACGAUCAGUAGGGGUUCUGAGAGCAAGGUGCCCCACAUUGGAACUGGGACCCGGUCCAAACUCCUACGGGAGGCAGCAGUGAGGAAUAUUGGUCAAUGAGCGGAAGCCUGAACCAGCCAAGUAGCGUGCAGGAUGGCGGCCCUAUGGGUUGUAAACUGCUUUUAUACAGGAAUAAAGUUAGCCACGUGUGGUUAUUUGUAGGUACUGUAUGAAUAAGGACCGGCUAAUUCCGUGCCAGCAGCCGCCGUAA
rnacentral:rRNA from 1 species